rnacentral:rRNA from 1 species
UACGUAGGGUGCAAGCGUUGUCCGGAAUUAUUGGGCGUAAAGAGCUCGUAGGUGGCCUGUCGCGUCGGCUGUGAAAACUCGGGGCUCAACUCCGAGCUUGCAGUCGAUACGGGCAGGCUAGAGUUCGGCAGGGGAGACUGGAAUUCCUGGUGUAGCGGUGAAAUGCGCAGAUAUCAGGAGGAACACCGGUGGCGAAGGCGGGUCUCUGGGCCGAUACUGACACUGAGGAACGAAAGCGUGGGGAGCGAACAGG